GAUGAAGAACGUAGCGAAAUGCGAUAAGUAGUGUGAAUUGCAGAAUUCAGUGAAUCAUCGAAUCUUUGAACGCACAUUGCGCCCCAUGGUAUUCCGUGGGGCAUGCCUGUUCGAGCGUCAUUUACCCCCUCAAGCUCCGCUUGGUGUUGGGCGUCUGUCCCGCUUCGGGCGCGGACUCGCCCCAAAGGUAUUGGCAGCGGUCGUGCCAGCUUCUCGCGCAGCACAUUGCGCUUCUCGAGGCACCGGUGGGCCCGCGUCCAUCAAGCUCACCCCCCAGUUUGACCUCGGAUCAGGUAGGGAUACCCGCUGAACUUAAGCAUAUCAAUAAGCGGAGGA
rnacentral:misc_RNA from 1 species